GUCAUAGUCAGUUUCCUCAUCUAUCCUUCAUCAUGGCCUCAUAGGUACUAUUAUAUGGCUGUUGCAUUUCAACGUUUUUGCAGAUAGUUCCAUGUUGGACGUCGGCGGGCAGGCGGAGGGCAUGUCCGCGGUCGACCUGGAGGUCGUGUUCGGCUCCAUUGGACGCGUCGCUUUUAUCAUAGGGCUCUUGACCAAGCUGAGCGAAUUAAAUUUCACAGUUCACCGGUAUUGCAAUUCUAUGAUGCGAGUGUCUCCCCAGAAAUGUGAGCCCCAAAGGGCAAUUGGUGAUGAAACCUGUAGCUUAUCAAACAUGGAGCAGUGGAGGGAAUUAAAAGCGUGUGGUAUGGAUCCAUGUGGAAGGGGUGAAGUCUUUUGGGUAGAAAGACGUUUGGGAGACCUUUAUGGAGGGAGCCAGGCAAAAACAGGACACUGCAUUGUGUUUCUGGGUCAUCCUCUAGGUUCUGGUUUGAGACCUACUACUGCAAAGGCAAGCAAAUUAGUUUUGCGGUUCAUCUAAAGUCACACUAUUUAAGUUGUUAAUGCAAAUCCAAGAAUGCUGGCUAUCUAGAUCUUUUUCUUUAUAGAUUAUGUGACACCAAUAAUGGUAUGUCGGUUUUAAUUAGAAUAUAGAGCUGUGAGCGGCACAUCACGGAGGCCAUGCCUCAAACAUGUGUGGGCUGGGCAUACACUUGCAUCUCUAUAGCCAACUAUAACACAAAGAUGUCAUAACAGUUCAACCAGACUUCUUCUCCUGUCAUGAAUCUCAAUCGGCAUUUAUGUAAAAUUAACAUGCCCUUGUCAUAUGCAUCAUCUUUUUCACUCCGGGUGAUUCAAAUUGAAUCUAUUGUGACAACUUUUAUGCCGUGUUAUUAUAAGUAUUUAUGCCAUCUUCUUUUUUAGAAAACAGGUUAGUAGUAUUUCUCAUUUCUUGCCAUUCUUAUUAGGACUUAGCUAACAAUGUGGCAACUGGUUCUAUUACUCGGGUAAAGAGCGCACACACUGGAGUGCAUUUGUUCCUUUAAUCUAGGUAACCUACAACUUGGUCAAACUUCCAAUUUCUUUAACUGAAAGUUUCUUUUUGAAAAAUAAAAAUAUGUUACCUUAUUUGUUGCAACUUAUCUACCCUUUAAUGUGUGGUCCCCUCCCCCCCGCUAGGGUGCGUGGGGGCAUUGUUGGAUCGAUCGCGCGCACGGUUGCUAGGUGUGGUGAGUGUAUUUUGUGUGUGUGCGCGAUGCGAUUUGUGAUGUAUGUAGUGUGUUGGGCGUGUGUGUGCCCCGUGGAGGCCAUGUGCACCUUCAGGGUCAAGAUAGCCAUCUGCCGUCGUGCUCCGCCGCCCCACGCUGCAGGACUGACUCUGAUGACCUGAUCAGAGCAGGUUUGAUCCAAUCUACCUUUUAUUUCCAUGGCCUUCCCAUCUCCACACCUAUCAUUGAUAUUCUGCUUAGUGCAUGUUUUGGGAAGAUCAGGCUACAUGUUGUUCUAUACUUCUUUACCUUUGAAAAGUUGUUACCCUGGUUUUGAUACAUAAUUUAGCAUGGGUAAACUAAUAAAAUUUAAUCUGGUUUAGGUGACAUAAUCAGCUAGAGAAGGACAUGAGCUUGCAUAGUUUUUAGUAGAAGAUGACAUAAAUUGUGGCAUUGGUCACAAUCUAGAAGUUUUUCAGGUGAGUGACAUGGUUUAAUUUGGAGAAGCACUAGGUAGGAUGCAGUCACAUUUUUUAUGGUUCCUGCCUAUUCCUUGUGGUAUUAUCAAUAUUUUCUAAUUGAACUGAAUUUCUAUGUGAUAACCUUCCAAAUCCAAAUCCUACUUCAGAAAGUGUAUAUGAGCAAAGGUCUGCACCUAAACGUUAUCAUAAGCGAGGUCUUAGACAAGGUAAUGUUUUUCUAUUUGAUGAACUGACAUGGCAAUGUUCGAACCUGGAAGUGAUCAAAUCAUAUGCUUUGGUAUGAAAGAGUGUAAAGUAACUAUUGCAUGUACAUCUUAGCUCUAGAUUUUCAGUUUGUGCUUGUCUAAUGUAGAAAUUGUUGUCCAUGAAGCAUGGCCUGAAUGUCGGAAAAUAUCAUUCAUCCUUGUGUUGCAGUAAAAUAUAUCUCUUCAUUACAAAAAAUACUCCCUUUAGAUUUGGGAGCAGUAUAUGCCGAGUAUCUAUACUCACCAGAGUCAACUUUUCCUUUAAGAUAAUUUUAAGAGGUACUGCCUAAGUUCAGCGUGCAAUGUGUCAUAACAAAGUUAUUGUGGUAUAAACAAUACUCUUUGGGAUACUCCAUGGAUAUGUUGGUCGGAUUCCUUUGUUGCUCUGAUAGGAAUUCUCAUCUCGUCAAAGUUUAUUACUCCCUCUGAUCCAUAUUACUUGUCGCAACUUUAUUACAAUGUGUCAUAGCCUAGUUAUUGGGUCAAAAUCAGACUCAACCCAAAAUAUCCUCUUAUGCAUAACCCAAGAAGCAAAAUAUUUGGGACUAACCUAAGGGAAAAGGGGGAUGUAGUCCCAAAUAUUCAUUAUAUGCUUCCCGGUUUCUUUAUUUUAAGCGCAAGAGAUGAACUAUAUUUCCCCUUUUUCUCAACAUAUUAUGCUUCACAAAUGAAUUAGCUAGACAGAUGAUGCACCUGGUGUUGUCUAGGUUAUCCAACACCUAUUGAUAAUGUCAACAAGAUACAAUAUUGUUAUGAAAAAUCCUUAACACACUAAUUCCCCUAUUAUUUGAUUUAGUGACACAUCUCAUGUUGUCGAUAUUAACAAAGGUUUUCUGUUAGUUAUAAGUUUUACUAUGAGACUAGACAUCUAUUGUUUUGAAAACAAUAAACUGAAGCAUAUUUAAUUUGGCUUGAAUGAAGCAGGAUUUUUGAUUCCAUCUGAUUAUCUGCUUUCAUGCGCAGAGCCCACUUGAUCUUGCUAAGCUUCGGGAGAUUGCUGUAAAAACUGUACGAGUAUGCGAACGUGAGAAAUCAAGCUCUCCCAUGGGAAAAUUCCUUGUACCGUUGGAUAUAACCCAAGCAAGCAAUAUGAUUACCAUGCGAAUGAAGCGAAGAACAUUCCUGACGUUGUUGUUCAUGAAUAUCUCAAACGCAUCAAGUAUGUCUUAGUUUGUAACAGAUAAUUAUCAUCGAUCUCUUUGUAUACAUUGUUGAAUUACAUUGCA